GGAAUAUUGCACAAUGGGGGGAACCCUGAUGCAGCGACGCCGCGUGAAGGAUGAAGUAUUUCGGUACGUAAACUUCUAUCAGCAGGGAAGAAAAUGACGGUACCUGACUAAGAAGCCCCGGCUAACUACGUGCCAGCAGCCGCGGUAAUACGUAGGGGGCAAGCGUUAUCCGGAUUUACUGGGUGUAAAGGGAGCGUAGACGGGCCAGCAAGUCUGAUGUGAAAACCCGGGGCCCAACCCCGGGAGUGCAUUGGAAACUGCGGGCCUGGAGUGCCGGAGAGGUAAGCGGAAUUCCUAGUGUAGCGGUGAAAUGCGUAGAUAUUAGGAGGAACACCAGUGGCGAAGGCGGCUUACUGGACGGUAACUGACGUUGAGGCUCGAAAGCGUGGGGAGCAAAC
rnacentral:rRNA from 1 species